rnacentral:lncRNA from 1 species
UUUAGCAACUAGGAUUUAUAUGGCCUUCCUGACUAAAGUGUUAACUUGUGAUUGAAAAGUCAUGUUUUCUAAGAAUAUACGCAAUACUAUAAAACAUAUUUAAAUUAAUGGAUCUAGUUUCUUAUGUAUGCUCUAAAAAGCACGUGCAACAAUUUUCCCCAGUAAAUGAAAUAAAGCUUCUAUCUAUUUAUUUCAGCCUUAGGAAGAAAUGACUGGAUUGAGUUUAACCAAAUAGAGAUGGUGAAAUUAAAAUAGAGGCCAUGGUUAUCAAGUACAUCAACAAAAUAGGCAGUCACGCUUCAGAAGAGAAACAGAGUCUCUCCAACGAAUACACACGUGCAACUUUGAAGUUACCUGAACAAAGAUUUCAACAUUUUCAUUUUGGUGCAAGUCUAAUGGAAAUGUAUAAAUAAUAACUAAUGUAACUUAUAAUGCAUAAAUAUGCUGGCGGCACGGACAGAAAAUGAUUAAAGUUGAAGCUGAGUUCU